rnacentral:rRNA from 1 species
GUGGGGAAUCUUGCGCAAUGGGCGAAAGCCUGACGCAGCCAUGCCGCGUGAAUGAUGAAGGUCUUAGGAUUGUAAAAUUCUUUCACCGGGGACGAUAAUGACGGUACCCGGAGAAGAAGCUCCGGCUAACUUCGUGCCAGCAGCCGCGGUAAUACGAAGGGGGCUAGCGUUGCUCGGAAUUACUGGGCGUAAAGGGCGCGUAGGCGGACAGCUUAGUCAGAGGUGAAAGCCCAGGGCUCAACCUUGGAAUUGCCUUUGAUACUGGCUGUCUUGAGUUUGGGAGAGGUGAGUGGAACUCCGAGUAUAGAGGUGAAAUUCGUAGAUAUUCGGAAGAACACCAGUGGCGAAGGCGACUCACUGGCCCAAUACUGACGCUGAGGCGCGAAAGCGUGGGGAGCAAACAGGAUUAGAUACCCUGGUAGUCC